GUGUGUUUAUGAAGAGCACUGACAAAAGAGUAAUUGACUCAGUUGGUGUUCAGAUACUUUCACAC
rfam:Colinus virginianus strain Texas jcf7180006227020, whole genome shotgun sequence.